rnacentral:rRNA from 1 species
UGGGGAAUUUUGGACGAUGGGCGAAAGCCUGAUCCAGCAAUGCCGCGUGUGUGAAGAAGGCCUUCGGGUUGUAAAGCACUUUUGUCCGGAAAGAAAUCCUUGGCUCUAAUACAGUCGGGGGAUGACGGUACCGGAAGAAUAAGCACCGGCUAACUACGUGCCAGCAGCCGCGGUAAUACGUAGGGUGCAAGCGUUAAUCGGAAUUACUGGGCGUAAAGCGUGCGCAGGCGGUUUGCUAAGACCGAUGUGAAAUCCCCGGGCUCAACCUGGGAACUGCAUUGGUGACUGGCAGGCUAGAGUAUGGCAGAGGGGGGUAGAAUUCCACGUGUAGCAGUGAAAUGCGUAGAGAUGUGGAGGAAUACCGAUGGCGAAGGCAGCCCCCUGGGCCAAUACUGACGCUCAUGCACGAAAGCGUGGGGAGCAAACAGGAUUAGAUACCCUGGUAGUCCACGCCCUAAACGAUGUCAACUAGUUGUUGGGGAUUCAUUUCCUUAGUAACGUAGCUAACGCGUGAAGUUGACCGCCUGGGGAGUACGGUCGCAAGAUUAAAACUUAAAUGAAUUGACGGGGU